rnacentral:rRNA from 1 species
AGAAUUAACGCUGGCGGCGUGCCUAACACAUGCAAGUCGCACGAGAAAGGGUAGCAAUACCUGAGUAAAGUGGCGCACGGGUGAGUAACACGUGAAUUAUCUACCUCCGAGUGGGGAAUAACUGAGAGAAAUCUUAGCUAAUACCGCAUAACACUUACGAGUCAAAGCAGCAAUGCGCUUGGAGAGGAGUUCGCGGCAGAUUAGUUAGUUGGCGGGGUAAUGGCCCACCAAGACGAUGAUCUGUA